rnacentral:rRNA from 1 species
UACGUAGGGGGCAAGCGUUGUCCGGAUUUAUUGGGCGUAAAGAGCGUGUAGGCGGCCGCACAGGUCCGUUGUGAAAACUGGAGGCUUAACCUUCAGACGUCGAUGGAAACCGUGCGGCUAGAGUCCGGAAGAGGAGAAUGGAAUUCCUGGUGUAGCGGUGAAAUGCGCAGAUAUCAGGAGGAACACCGGUGGCGAAGGCGGGUCUCUGGGCCGAUACUGACGCUGAGGAGCGAAAGCGUGGGGAGCGAACAGG